rnacentral:tRNA from 5 species
GGGGGUGUAGCUCAGUUGGUUAGAGUGCCGGCCUGUCACGCCGGAGGUCGCGGGUUCGAGUCCCGUCACUCCCGCCA